GCAAAGGGAAAGUGAUCGUGGCAGAGCAGAGAUGUAGCAGCGUAGCUCGCUGGGACUCCGCGGCCAGCCGUCUGUCACUUUUUUUUAUACCAGAAACCAUUUGCCUGACAUCGCCGCGGAAUGGGAGAGAUUACACGUAUUUUUUGUACCGCUGCACUGUAUGAAUGUGCCGCGUAAUGCGACCGAGGACGGUUGCCUCUGGGGGGAAAUAUUUAUGUUCCGGGACCGUUUUGUUGGAGUAGCUAGUUGCUAGCACUGGGCUAGCGGCUGUGCUGGCUACUUCGAGCGUAUUCUGCAAGGAUGCUACGAUGGAUACGACAGCAGCUGGGCUUUGACCCCCCUCAUCAGAGUGAGACCAGAACGGUUUAUGUAGAAAACCGUUUCCCGCAGCAUGGCCACUACAUACCACAGCGCUUUGCUGACAACAGAAUCAUCUCAUCCAAGUACACAGUUUGGAAUUUUGUCCCCAAGAAUCUGUUUGAGCAAUUCAGAAGGAUAGCAAACUUCUAUUUCCUCAUUAUCUUCCUUGUGCAGUUAAUGAUAGAUACCCCAACUUCCCCAGUCACCAGCGGUCUGCCGCUCUUCUUUGUGAUUACAGUAACUGCCAUAAAACAGGGCUAUGAGGACUGGUUGAGACACAAGGCAGACAAUGAGGUGAAUGGGGCUCCAGUGUUUGUGGUUCGCAGUGGAAGCCUGGUCCAGACAAGAUCCAAGAAUAUCAGGGUGGGAGACAUUGUUCGUGUGGCUAAAGAUGAGACGUUCCCAGCUGACCUGGUGUUGCUGUCGUCAGAUCGUGCAGAUGGCACCUGUCACGUCACCACAGCCAGCCUCGAUGGAGAGACCAACCUUAAGACCCAUUACUCUGUGGCAGAGACAUCAGUGUGUCAGUCAGUGUCCCAAAUGGAGGCUCUGCAAGCUGUGGUGGAGUGUCAACAACCUGAAGCUGACCUGUACAGAUUUGUUGGUCGUAUGACAGUGACUCAGCAUGGAGAGGAGAUAGUCAGACCACUGGGUCCAGAGAAUUUGCUGCUGAGAGGUGCCAGGUUAAAAAAUACCAAAGAGAUUUACGGUGUGGCAGUUUACACAGGGAUGGAAUCAAAGAUGGCUCUCAACUACAAGUGCAAAUCCCAGAAACGCUCUGCAGUAGAGAAGUCAAUGAAUACCUUCCUCAUCAUCUACCUGGGCAUCCUGCUUUUUGAGGCCGUCCUCAGCACCAUCCUGAAGUAUGCCUGGCAGGCAGAGGAGAAAUGGGACGAGCCUUUCUACAACCAAAAGACUGAACAGGAGAGAAACAGCAGUCCGAUCUUAAAGUUCAUCUCAGACUUCUUGGCAUUUCUGGUCCUCUAUAACUUCAUCAUCCCCAUCUCGCUCUAUGUUACUGUGGAGAUGCAGAAGUUCCUGGGCUCCUUUUUCAUUGGCUGGGAUUUGGACCUUUACCACGAGGAAAGCGAUCAGAAAGCUCAGGUCAACACCUCGGACCUCAAUGAGGAGUUGGGACAGGUGGAGUAUGUGUUUACCGAUAAGACGGGUACGCUAACAGAAAAUGAAAUGCAAUUCCGUGAGUGUUCAAUCAAUGGAACCAAGUACCGUGAAGUUAAUGGCAAACUGGUACCAGAGGGAAUGACAGACGAUUCACCAGAUGGUUCCACACCUCACCUGAUUGGUGAGGAAUUGUUAUUUCUCAAGGCAGUGUCAUUGUGUCACACAGUUCAGAUCAGUUACGACCAGCCAGACUGUCUGGUUGGGGGAGGAGACCCAUUCUCCCAUGCCAACGGUUUCUCUUCCAAUCACAUGGAGUACUAUGCCUCUUCACCAGAUGAGAAAGCUUUGGUAGAGGCAGCAAAGAGGAUUGGAGUGGCCUUCACUUGCAGCAGCGGAGAUACCAUGGAAAUCAAAACAUUUGGCAAGUCAGAGAAGUAUAAACUACUCCAUGUGUUAGAGUUUGAUGCUGAUCGCAGGAGGAUGAGCGUCAUUCUACAGACUCCCUCGGGAGGCAAAGUGCUUUUCACCAAGGGUGCAGAGUCAGCCAUCUUGCCUUUCACUACUAGUGGUGAGAUUGAAAAGACAAGACUGCACGUUGACGAGUUUGCCUUGAAAGGUUUGCGGACUCUGGUGGUAGCGUGUCGACACUUCAGUCCAGAAGAGUACAUUGAUGUGGACAGGCGCCUGAACGCCGCCCGCACCGCGCUGCAGCAGAGGGAGGAGAGACUGCAGGAAGCCUUCAGCUACAUCGAGAGAGACCUGCAGCUUCUGGGAGCAACAGGGGUAGAAGACAAACUUCAAGACAAAGUCCAAGAGACCAUCGAGGCUUUGCGGCUGGCAGGAAUUAAAGUAUGGGUGUUGACAGGGGACAAACAUGAGACAGCAGUCAGUGUCAGCCUGUCCUGUGGCCACUUCCACAGAACCAUGAACAUCUUGGAGCUCCUGCAGCAGCGUUCUGAUAAUGAGUGUGCCGAGCAGCUCCGCAGACUGGCCAGAAGGAUAAAGGAAGACCAUGUCAUACAGCAUGGGUUGGUUGUAGAUGGGGCCAGCCUGUCUUUAGCAUUGAGGGAACACGAGAAGCUCUUUAUGGAAGUGUGUAAAAACUGUUCAGCUGUGCUCUGCUGCCGCAUGGCCCCACUUCAGAAAGCUAAGGUGGUGCGUCUUUUAAAGACCUCUCCAGAAAAACCCAUCACCUUAGCUAUUGGGGAUGGAGCUAAUGAUGUCAGCAUGAUACAGGAAGCCCACGUAGGCAUAGGUAUCAUGGGGAAGGAGGGUCGCCAGGCCGUGAGAAACAGUGACUAUGCAAUUGCCAGGUUUAAGUUCCUGGCUAAACUACUGCUGGUCCACGGUCACUUCUACUACAUUCGAAUAGCUACGCUUGUACAGUACUUUUUUUACAAGAAUGUGUGUUUUAUCACACCCCAGUUUUUAUACCAGUUCUUCUGUUUGUUUUCACAACAAACUCUGUAUGACAGUGUUUAUCUGACACUGUACAACAUCUGCUUCACCUCGCUGCCCAUCCUGGUGUACAGUCUGUUUGAACAGCUGGUCCAUCCCCAUAUACUGCAGAACAAACCUGGCCUGUACAGGGAUAUCAGCAAGAACUCUAUGUUGUCUUUCCGGACAUUCUUGUACUGGACUCUGUUGGGCUUCUGUCAUGCCUUUGUCUUCUUCUUUGGAUCGUACAUACUGAUGGGAGAAGACACUACUCUUAUGGGCAAUGGACAGAUCUUGCGAGCUAACAGGCAGCUGAUGUUCGGGAACUGGACAUUUGGAACGCUGGUCUUUACUGUUAUGGUCAUCACCGUCACAUUAAAGCUUGCAUUGGAGACUCAGUUUUGGACGUGGAUGAACCAUUUCGUGACGUGGGGCUCGAUUGCCUUCUAUUUCAUCUUCUCACUCUUCUAUGGAGGCAUUAUCUGGCCAUUCCUGCACACCCAGGACAUGUACUUCGUCUUCGUGCAGCUGCUCUCCAGUGGUUCAGCUUGGUUCGCCAUUAUCAUCAUCGUCAUAACCUGCCUCUUUCCUGAUGUGGUGAAGAAGGUCUUCUACAGACAUCUGCAGCCCACCAGCACACAGAAGAGUCAGAUGUAUUCCAACCGUGUGGCGAUAGGUGAUGACUUCAUCGCUCUGCAGCCUUUGUCCAGAGCCAAGAGCCAGCUGGGCAAAAUUAGUCUCUAUCAGCCCCCCAGGCGCAGACCCUCAGCUGUGUGGAGUCCCUGUGCUGCUACCAACAUGGGCAGAGUGGCUGUUCCCGCCUGGCCCACUUCCUGGAGCAAAUGACCGGACAGUGCAAGGCCAGCGCCAACAAUUGCCACGCAUCCAGCCGCAGCAACAGGUCUUGGAGCGACACGGAGAACUUCUACUCCAACGAUCGCAGCAUCCUGACGCUGUCGCCCAUCGAGGCCACCCACUGCUGACUCCCAGCGCCACUGACUUUAAACACACAGGACUGGGGGAGAGUUACCACUCCGCUAUGAACCAUAACCACACCCCCCUCCGCCCUUCCACCAUUUUGUAAACUGCUUCACUUAAAACUCAGUGCACUCUCAGCUGGAGUCAUCGCAGUCACACGGGAUGAAGAACCUGAGGACUUGGCUCGCUGCCGCAGGUUGAUUCAUCCUUCACCAGGUUGUGUCCCUGAGUGAAUCAAUUCUUAGAAAGGCUGAGGGGAAGAUCAGAUGGGAGCUGCAACAUUGAAGGAAAUAAAAUUUGUAAUGCAAAAGUCAGCCUGGCUUGACGUCUGUGGAGCUGCAGUCCUUCAUGUCAGAAGAUUCAGGUUUCAGCAAGUCCUGUAAAAUCACCUGAACACACCUUACAGGAAUCCACUACCUUUAAAAGUGUCUUUAAUGGUUAAAGUCUGUCUGAUCAGCCCUUCGAUCCAUGAGUUCUUACAGAGCUAUUUAUUUUUCAUUUUCUGAUCAGCUGCCAAGCAUUUAUUCUUGUGACUGGCAUUAAAUAGACCUUCUAAGUCUAAGCAGACACAGAAUGGAGAUUCCUGGCUGUCUGCUAUUUUUGCUACAGAGGUACGCUAACCCAGCCGGUUUGGAUAAGUGGACCGACCUCAGCGGAGGUCACAGUCGGUUUGACAAACCAGGAUCCUGCAUGUAGCACCAGGGCAGAAGCUGGGGAGCGUCAGACUGCAUUAUGAGAACACCUCCGAGGUGUCGACUAGCAGCGAAGGCUCCACAUCAAACUGCUUCCAGAAAACCGCUCCAUAAACUUCUAACACGGGUGUCUGUCAGCUGCCGACCCCACUGCUGCACCUUCUUUCUCAUUCAGACUGAAAGGGAAAAAGCUAAACCGCCCACAGUCCUGUAGCAUCCAGAGCCAUCCUGACCCAGAGGUUCUGCUGACUUGUCUCCUUCAGCCUUGCAGUACUCUCUCAAUACUGUACGUGGAGCUUCAGCUCUGCUGUGGUACCAAAGACCAAAGGAUUCCGACUGGAGUUUGAAAGAGAAAGUGUUUAUUUUUGUGCCUGAUUGUACAGAAGCUUAUAUAUUGUUGUUAAGAAGACUAGUUGUUGUUCGUGCUGCUUACUCGUCUGACUGUUCAGGCCUCUUGUCUCCCCGAUGUGUCGCUCUGAAAGAGGCGGGAUGUUUAAAAAGCCAUACAUUUUGAAGAGGUUCUAUUAUUGAGAGAUUACUGAAGGUACUGCAGAUGGAAGCUGUUUGAGCCUGUUGCUACUUUGUACUCAUCCCCUCUAAUGCCUUUUCUCAAUCAGCCCGACGACCAAAGGUAUCUCAGCAUUAAAGACAGUAAGGAUCAGGGCAUAUUUGAAGGGUUUUCUAACAUCUGUACACACAGAUUUGGAGAUAAAAUCUUUCAUCUGAGUUGCCUGGAAACAUUUCUGAUCAGAAGAUGGUAUCGUUUUUAUUUCAGUGGGACAAAAAUGGCUUUAAUGGUGAGAUGCUUUUCCAAAUCGCGGCUGAUGCAUGUCAACACAGACAGCAGAAUGUCUCUAUGUUCAGAUAGAUAAAUAUAAUUCACUUUGAGCAGAUAGGAAAAGAAAAGCAGAGCGUUUGCACAAAUCACAUCAGAUUCAUAUUUUAUUGGUUUUCUUUUCUGAAAAAAAAUCAUUGUCACCCGUCACCACUGAAAUCAUUUAAAUCACCUGUUUGCUGUUACAUUGUUUUUGCCAUGUGUGUGUUUCUCUUCACCAGCUGUUGAAGUGUGUCUGUGUGUGUGUGGAGGUUUAAUGUUUCUCUGUGUGGCGGCCGUGUUGGUUGAAGGUACAGUUUGUCACGUAGCUUUGUUGAAUGAUGCAGGUCAAAGGCCGUGUCUCUUUGACACUCUGUUCCCCCGCUGUUGAUCCAAAAUAAGCUGGAAGGAGGAGCUUUGUGACGGCUCUUAUUUUGAGGAGAACUCCAGAAGGUUCUUGACAGAAGCGUACCGUAGAAAUCCCCCAAGACAACCGUUUUAGACGCAGCGGUACAUGCCUCAGCUCACACAGGGAGCGUUCAGAGUCACAGGAUGUUUGUGUUGCUAUGGUUCAGCAUGUUGUCUGUCAUACUGUUGUCAGUCAAUUCAUUGAAUGUCCUUGUUGUUUAUUUUCUAUACGGUUCUCUUUGUUCCUUUCUGUUCACACGGGUGCAACUGCCAGUGGAAGUGUCUAUUUAUUAUUGCGAUACUUUUUUUUCUGUAUUUGUGUUAGAUUUUUCUUACAUAUCGAUGUAUCUGUAAACAGGAUGUUAGUCUGCCAUCAGAUAUUUAAAAGAGCAAAAGGACGCUUCCAGUUUUUAACCAGUUGACCUCAUAUCUGCUAUUAAAUCAUCUACCUUGAUACGCCUGUGAUCUGUGCAUGGAUUAAGAAAAGUACACCGUCAUAGGUUUCACAGCCGACCCUUUAACUGCCACAGAGAGUCCACUUCUAUCAGGCUCACAUUUUUUUUACUCGCCUUGUCGCCUAAAGUAAUAUCCAUGUCUGUAUGUGAACUGAACGAACUAUUGAUCGGUGAAAAAGUUCUUUUUGAGGUGAGCGACAAAAUCCAGUGUCCUCAUUCUGUGCACGCUGAACAGUGUCAGCAGUCGGACUCGGAGGAGUUUUCUUCUUUUCAGUAAGCAGAGUUCCUGCUUUGAUUCUCCCUAAACUGCUGUUUCCCACUGAGCUGCAGUAGAGGUAUUUUUGCACAGAACAAGGAGGACCCAAUUUUGUGGAUAUUAUUAUGGCCAGCACGAAUCCAAGCGAGGAAAAACUCUGAAUGCCUGAUUGUUGUUUUAAGACAGACUUGGAAAAAUGUGAGCCUGCCGUGUCGUUUAUUGUCUAAAACUGAUGAGGAGCAGAGCUGGGUGAUGUGGUCGAUCCACAAUACUCCUAUCAGUCUCCAGUUAAAGUCUGUUUGUUAUUUUCCUUUAAACUACUCAGAGGUCAGUGGAUGCCAUAAAUGAAUCAUCACUCGGCUCUUGUGAGGUCAGAUUUGACAAAAACGGGAAAAAAAAAUCAUCCACCAAGUUAGUAGAAGCAUCAACGAAAUUAGACGACCGCUAGCCUCGGUGUGUUGGGGCAUCAGUGCUGCGACGCUGCUGAUUUCUGCAUGAUAUUUUGGAGCAGAUGGCCGAGGAGGGAAGUCUAGUGCUUCCCUGCCAAAGGCAAAUGAGACGGAGCUGUGCAGAAACACCUGCAGUGUUAGAGCAGAUCUGAUGCCCCCUUGUGCUCAGUGUGGUGACCCUUAGUGUUCAAAACUAAACUGAUGAGAAAAGCACACUGUGACAUGAGUAAUUAUGUUUUUAGAACUGUUAAAGUCGAGGUAGGCAAUAUGUUUUGGGCGUCACUGGACAAAGAUUACAUUAUAACCAGUCAGUGUGUUGUAAUUGGAGCUCCAGAGGAAACUAGACCUUCGUUUUUGCAGCCUGACUCAAGUUUCAGGCUUUAGAAGAUCUAACCUGUUAUGGGAGAUUUGGCCGAAUAUGGUGCUUUUCAGAACACAUCAGGUGAGUAAACAUUUUAGAGUCAAAAUUAACCCAGUUUAAAGUUUGAAAAUGUGGAAGAAAAAAAUAUUUUCACAGUGAAACUUCUGAUGUCCACAUUUUCAACAUUUUUGAGAAAUCUUUGGACAUUUUUUGAUGGAAAAAAAAAUGUUUAAAAUGUUUCUUAAGAACGUUCACAAAAAAAUCAACCAAAAUCCAGCGAAAUUCACUGGAUUUUGGUUGGUUUUAAUGUGAAUGCUCUUAAAGAAAGUAUUAGAAGUUUUACUGAUAUAUAUGGAAUCACUUUAGAUAUUUUUAGGAUUUUUUUUGGAAGAUUUUUACAAAUUUUUUGAAAAUAUUUAGAAUUUUCUUGCCAAAUUUGGGGGAUUUUUUUUAAAUAAAACUUUUACAGGAAACUUUUAAAGAAUUAUUGGAAUUUUAUUUUAUUUUAUUUAUUUGAAAAAAAAGAUAAAAGAUCAUUUGGCGGAAAUAAAAAUGAGACUUUAUGGAGCAUUUUACAACAUUUUAAAAUAAUAGAGUUUCAUUUACUAUUUUCUGGUUAAAUAUUUAGGAUUUGAACACUUGAGGUCUCCACACUCCCCCACGUUUACGCCAGAAACCAAAAAUACCAUCCAGCAGUAAUUAAGCCUCAAACCAGGCAAUCAGAUGAGAUGUAAACGCCAGAAGUAAUUCACUCUCAAGUGGCACCAAAGUGGUGUUUUCACAUCUGUUUUGCUCGGGUCCGAACAGCUGUGGACCGAUCAUGUGAAAACCAGGAGCAGAUUCUCUAAAGCGCUGCAGCACUGACGUCAUGGUUUGGAGACGAGGCCUCCGGGGCGUUUCCAGGAGCAGGAAGAUUACUCAGACACAUAAUUCAGAAAAGAGAUUUAAUAUUUGAUCACACCUCAGCUCUCUGAUGGUCUCCAUGUCAUCCAUCAGAGGCAACAUCUGAGCUUCACCUUGUUCAAAGAGACCCAGAGCUCAGUCUGUCUGCAGGAGUUGCUGCUGUCGGAGAUACUGUCCAUGUCUCAUCUGGGUCCAUUCUGAGCUAAAAGAGCUCUGAGCUGCUGGAAGAGUGAUGAUUCACUUUCAGAAUUUGUGUUAAUUUUGCCUAUAAAUUGUCCUUAAACUUCAGCCUUCACUGUUGUUUUGAAGUUCUGAACUUUUGACUGCAGACAGAUGACCUCAGUGCAGAACAGCUUCUAAAAAGACUCCAUUGAAUUAAGGCUUCCGUGAUCAAAUCAGCUAAAAAGCCGGAGUCGGAACUAAAAUGUCAGUUUGCAGCAGAAUGUUGUGACUCAGCGUCAUCCAGUCAGACAGCAGGCUGCUCGUCGUCUCUGUGGAAACCAUCUCUCCUCCUCCUCUCAUCAGUAAAUCGUGUCGCACCUGACAAUUAAUAAGCCACCGCCAUCACUCUUCUGUUCACUGAUAUCUGAUGCUGUGUCUGUCCGUCCGUCUGUCCGUCCUCCUCCUGUCUGUAAAUCUGUCUUAUAGCUGAAGAUGCGGUUCUAUUUACGAAAUAAAUACAUUUUUUCAGAA